rnacentral:misc_RNA from 1 species
GAAAAUAUUAGAGAAUUUUCUGUGCACCAAAAUGUGACUAUAGUUUCGAUCACACCUUUGGGUCACCCCUCCAAUCUUCAAAAACCUUUCAAGGUAGGGGUUACAUUCGACAUCUGAAACCAUGUUUGAAUGAAGAUUCCCUGAAGCAGCAAUUGCAUCAGCUGUACUCAUAUUUCUGGUGCUGGCAAGUGAAUCAAUCAUCUUUAUACUUGAGCCUCUGGGACAAAUAUUCUUCUUUUGCUUUGUAGGUACAGAUGCCUCUCCUAGCAAGGACUCACCAUGUAACAAUCUUAAUGAUGCAGCUCUAACAUCAGAAGUUACUUGAGGACUAGGCAAAAGUUUCUGGGUAACAUUUUCAUUUCUCAAAUUUUUGUCAACAGCAACAGCAGGAUGACUAUUAGCUUUUAAUGAUAAUGUUGAUUUUUGCAAUAGUUGCUGAAGAUCAGAUUGAUUACUUCUCAAAUCCAUUAUAAUGGAUUUAUCUUUGACCUUCCUAACAUCUGAAUUGGGAAAAUCAGUAGUUUCAAGAGGCUCUUGUUUCACAGUAACAUUGGGCAUUCCAGUAGGCAGCUUUGGGUUUCCUUCUAGAAUUUCAUGCUGACCUUUAUUUGUCAAUGACAAAGAUCCUCUCAGGUCAUGAUAUCUUUCAAGAAUACUUUUCUCUGCUCCAACUUGUUGAUACAUCAGAUUAUUUUUCCUCAGUAAUUCAGGUGACAGACCAAUUUCAGCUAGAUUCCCAAGAAGCUGCUCCAAUGUGAAGUCAGGUUCUUGCCUAGGUUUCUUAAGGAUAAGUCUUUCAACUGUUUCUGUUUCACAUUCGCUCCUCUCAGAAGGAACUAAUGAAGGAGGUUCUCUCUUAUCUCUGCCAAUGCUUGCAGUAGGUGAAGACAAAUCCGCUGCAGCAUAUUUGUUGCACCCAUCCACUGAUUGAUAGUUAUGAAUAUUAUCUUGUGCAACCUUACCCGCUUGUAAACUGGGGACAACUCUUGAAAUAUUCUUCUGUGAAGUUGGGACUUCUAUACCAUGAUAUGCUAAACCAAAUUGAAAAUUGGAUUCCUGGGUGCUCCCUAUACUUGGCAAGCAGAUCCCACUUUGUGAGUCGGAGUUAGGUACACAACUUAGCUUUCUCUUUUUCCAACCCCAGGUGAUUCCCAAAUUAAUCUUCUUAGUUGGAGUUUCUUCACAAAACCUAUCCAACAAUGGGUUUGGAUUCAG